UGGGGAUUGGUGUAACGGUAGCACGACGGAUUCUGAUUCCGUUAGUCCAGGUUCGAAUCCUGGAUCCCUAA
rnacentral:tRNA from 1 species